AGGUCCUGAGAGAACUCCAUAGUU
rnacentral:siRNA from 1 species